CUGACUUACUCCUCGUGGUGUCGCCUGUCGUGCCACCAUGUUGCUAUGGCCAAGUUCUGGCUGUUUGUGAACGCAGGGGCUUCAGUCUGACGGGGCUGCAGAGGCUGCAGCUUCAGAGCAAUGGAGCUGCAGUCCUUGGACUCACCAACCAGCAGGCACUUGCAUUCUGCAGUCCACAUAUUGGGACCCCGGAUCAGGAGCAGCUGGAGCGGCCCUCUCACUGUCUGGUGUUGUUACUGAGGAAAGAAAAUGCGACGCACCACAGUGUUAGUCUUCCAGCAGCCCUAAUGAGAGAAUUUAAGGCACAAAAGCUUCUGGGUUGCAUCCAAUCCAGGCUUGAAGGUGUUCACACAGUAGAGUCGAGCUUCUGUUUCCACGCUGUAUCUUACAGCAAUAACCUGUUCCAUAUCUUUGUUAGGCGAAUGUGUGCAGUGCCAGAUCCCUCAGGUGUGAUCCUGUCCCAUCAGAAGUGCUCAUCCACCUCUAACAUGGAGCAGGUGGUGAUUUUGACCUUGUGUGGGAAGGACAUGAGCCAAGGCCUGAGCCUCCUACACAGAGUGCUGACAGAAGGGGCAGCAGGUGACGUACAACGCACAGGAUUCGAGCUGCUCGGCCUGAAGUAUCUGCCUGUGUUGACUCGAAUUCAGGCUCAGGAGCUUAGUCCAUACGAGGUGGGAGAGCAGCUCUGUCACAACAGCCUGGACAAUCUGAUGCCCUCUCCUGCCCUAGUGUGUGCUCUUAGACGAGUGGAUGGUUUUGCUUUGCUGAGAAAGCUCCUACCACACAAUUACCCUGGUAACCUCAGUGUCCUGAUGUCACCCACACCUGAAGUGGCUUUCAGACAAGCGUCCCUCUUCUUCUUUGAGCAUGAGACCAUUCCUGACCCACAGAUGCUGCUCACUGUGUGCCUAUUCAAGCCAGGAAUCUGGAACCACGCUCUGGCUGAAAUAGUUUGGAAACUCCAACUGAGUGGCCUCAGGAUAGUGGGCCUGCGUGUAGUGACCCUGGACAGAAGCAACGCUACCUCACUUCUGCCUGCAGAAAGUGACCCCUCAGACAUGGAGACCCAUGUGGAGUACUUGUGCUCUGGCUCCUCACUGGCUCUCUGCCUUGAGGGGGAGAAUGCUGUGAGAAGGCUGCUGUAUGUGCUGGGCCAAGAGGACUGGACAACCUGUUUUGGCAUGGCUCAGUCACACAAAGGCAUCUAUGGAUCAGAAUCAUAUCAGAAAGCAAUUCAGGAUGUGAAGAGGCUUUUUCCAAACGGGCUCUGCUGUUCUCAGACCAGCACAAUGAGACAGGAGCAGAUACUCAAGAUGUGCUCAGACCCUUUAGCCUCUGUGGAGCGUGAACAGAGCUGCACACUGGCCCUCAUUGCCCGGGAGUGUCUGUCACCUUCAGUGGCAUCAGAACCAAAUAGAGGGUCCCUGAUACACAGUGCUCUCUGGCAGACAACCUGUCUGCUGAUACCCUUAAACGCUCCACCCCUCAGCCAGGUGCCAUCCCAGCUGGACCUGCUGGAGCAGUUGCUGAGGUCAGGCUGCCAUCUGGUGGCAGGGAGGAUGAGCAUACUAGAUAAUGAGCAGAGGAAACAUAUCGCUGAGACACUGAAAGUGUCAUCAAGAGGCAAUGAUAAGAUGGCUCAUCUUUUCACUACACCCUGUCUCAUCAUGGCUCUGCAAGGGGAAAUGAUUGUGACCUGCUUUAACCUGAUCCUUGAAAGCAUCUACAAGGACAGGUCAGACCUAGAAAAAGUGGGGAAAAGGAUCAUCUACACCAAGAAUGAGGAAGAGGCCAAGCAGCUCAUAUGUUACCUAUUUGAUGUCUUGUCUUCCAAGAGCUGUCAUACUAUUGUGCCAUGA
ensembl:lncRNA